CUGCCCAAUGACAACAUAGUUCAAUGGCCGCGGUACCCUGACCGUGCAAAGGUAGCAUAAUCACUUGCCCCUUAAUUAGGGGCUGGCAUGAAAGGACACACGAAAGCUUCCCUGUCUCACAAUAACAAAUAAAAAUUAAUCUUCAAGUGAAAAAGCUUGAAUCAAACUGCAGGACAAGAAGACCCCGUUGAGCUUUAUUCUCUAUAGACUAAAUUAAAUAUUAAAUAUAUCAUAAACCUAAAAAGAAUUUAGUUGGGGUGACUAAGGAACACCAAAAACUUCCUUUUAUUUAUUAGGAUCAUUCUCCAUACAAAUUGACCCAUUACACAUGAUCAAAAAAAUAAGCUACCACAGGGAUAACAGGCUAAUCUUUCUCAAGAGCCCAAAUUGUCAGAAAGGAUUGGCACCUCGAUGUUGGCUUAGGGGCCCCUAAUGGUGCAGAAGCCAUAAAUGGUAGGUUUGUGUUCAACCUGUAAAACC
rnacentral:rRNA from 1 species